CCUACGGGAGGCUGCAGUGGGGAAUAUUGCGCAAUGGGCGAAAGCCUGACGCAGCGACGCCGCGUGGAGGAUGAAGGUCUUAGGAUUGUAAACUCCAUGGAAGUUUUUAGCGGUACCAUCAGAGGAAGCACCGGCUAACUUCGUGCCAGCAGCCGCGGUAAUACGAAGGGUGCGAGCGUUAUUCGGAAUCACUGGGCGUAAAGGGUGCGUAGAUGGCUUGUUAAGUUCGUUGUUAAAGGCUCUGGCCUAACCGGAGUAUUGCAAUGAAAACUGGCAGACUAGAGGGUGAGAGAGAGAAGUGGAAUUCCCGGAGUAGCGGUAAAAUGCGUGGAUCUCGGGAGGAACACCAAUGGCGAAGGCAGCUUCUUGGUCUUCCUGACAUUGAGGCACGAAAGCGUGGGGAGCAAACAGGAUUAGAUACCCUGUAGUC
rnacentral:rRNA from 1 species